rnacentral:rRNA from 1 species
UACGUAGGGUGCGAGCGUUAAUCGGAAUUACUGGGCGUAAAGCGUGCGCAGGCGGUUUUGUAAGCCAGAUGUGAAAGCCCCGGGCUUAACCUGGGAAUGGCAUUUGGGACUGCAAGGCUGGAGUGUGGCAGAGGAGACUGGAAUUCCUGGUGUAGCAGUGAAAUGCGUAGAUAUCAGGAGGAACACCGAUGGCGAAGGCAGGUCUCUGGGCUGACACUGACGCUCAUGGCACGAAAGCGUGGGGAGCAAACAGG